rnacentral:rRNA from 1 species
UACGAAGGGGGCUAGCGUUGCUCGGAAUCACUGGGCGUAAAGCGCACGUAGGCGGACUCUUAAGUCGGGGGUGAAAUCCUGGAGCUCAACUCCAGAACUGCCUUUGAUACUGAGGAUCUUGAGUUCGGGAGAGGUGAGUGGAACUGCGAGUGUAGAGGUGAAAUUCGUAGAUAUUCGCAAGAACACCAGUGGCGAAGGCGGCUCACUGGUCCGGUACUGACGCUGAGGUGCGAAAGCGUGGGGAGCAAACAGG